CCACGCCGUAAACUAUGAUUACUCGGAGUUUGAAAUUAAUUUAAGCUCCCAAGCGAAAGCGAUAAGUAAUCCACCUGGGGAGUACGUCGGCAACGAUGAAACUCAAAGGAAUUGACGGGGGCCCGCACAAGCGGAGGAACAUGUGGUUUAAUUCGAUGAUACGCGAGGAACCUUACCCGGGAUUGAAAUGUAUAUGGAGGUAUUGGAAACAGUACUGUUUUUCGUAAGAAGACAUAUAUGUAGGUGCUGCAUGGUUGU
rnacentral:rRNA from 1 species